GAUGAACGCUGGCGGCGUGCCUAAUACAUGCAAGUCGAGCGAACAGACGAGGAGCUUGCUCCCCUGACGUUAGCGGCUGACGGGUGAGUAACACGUGGAUAACCUACUUAUAAUACUUGGAUAAUUUCGGGAAACCGGAGCUAAUACCGGAUAAUAUAUUGAACCGCAGGGUUCAAUAGUGAAAGACGGCUUUGCCGUCUCUUAUAGAUGGAUCCGCGCCGCAUUAGCUAGUUGGUAAGGUAACGGCUUACCAAGGCAACGAUGCGUAGCCGACCUGAGAGGGUGAUCAGCCACACUGGAACUGAGACACGGUCCAGACUCCUACGGGAGGCAGCAGUAGGGAAUCUUCCGCAAUGGGCGAAAGCCUGACGGAGCCACGCCGCGUGAGUGAUGAAGGUCUUCGGAUCGUAAAGCUCUGUUAUUAGGGAAGAACAAAUGUGUAAGUAACUCUGCACGUCUUGACGGUACCUAAUCAGAAAGCCCCGGCUAACUACGUG
rnacentral:rRNA from 1 species